AUGCCCAGUGCAGCAGCAGCAGCCCUGGCAGUGCCAGCAGCCCCGGCCCACAGCCCUCUCCCACGGAAUUCCCGGAGCACAGGGACCCCUUGCCCACGGAACUCCCGGAAAAUGGGGACCCCUCGCCCACGGGACGCCCCGAGAACAGCUCCAGGACAUCCAGCCCCAGGGACAUCCCCGCCGUUUGCCGGGAUCCCGGCGCUGCCUCGGAGCCCGGAUGGGGUAAGGACAGGCAGGGAGUUCCCUGGAGCUGCUUCCCUGCGGAGGGAAUUCCCAGUGUCUCUGAACCCUCCUCUGUGUUUCACACAGCGUUCCAGGAUCCCACAUUUCCAUGUAAAGCUCCUUUCCUGGGGAGGGAAUUCCCAAUUUUCUCUGAAUUCUUUUCUGUAUUUCACACAGCAUUCCAGGAUCCCACAUUUCCAUGUAAAGCUCCUUCCCUGGGAAGGGAAUUCCCAAUUUUCUCUGAAUUCUUUUCUGUAUUUCACACAACAUUUCAGGAUCCCACUUUUCCAGGUGCUCAAUUUCCAUGUAAAGCUGCUUUCCUGGGAAAUGAAAUCUCAUUUUCUCAAAAGCCUUUUCUGUAUUUCACACAGCUUCCCAGGAUUCCCACAACAUUCCAGGAUCCCACAUUUCCAUCUGAGACUGCUUUCCUGGGAAGGGAAUUCCCACUUUAUCAGAAUUCUUUUUCUGUGUUUCACACAGCGUUCCAGGAUCCCACAUUUCCAUCUGAGUUUGGUUUCCUGGGAAGGGAAUUCCCAAUUUUCUCUGAAUUCUUUUCUGUAUUUCACACAACAUUCCAGGAUUCCACAUUUCCCUGGCAGCUGGAGCUCUCCGUUCCCGGAGUUCUGGAUUCUCCCUCUGGAAUCUGGGAACUCCAUCCAGAGCCAGGAAUCUUUGUGGUGUUUUAGGGAAUUUUUCCAUUCUCAUUCCAGGCUCUUUAUCCCUGCUGCUGCUGUGCCUGCUCCUGCUGAUGGUGAGUGGAAUUUCCAUCCUGCUCCUGAUCAUCCAGGCAGCCCAGAGAAAAGCCAGGAAUGGGCCUGGGAGGAGCACCCAGCACACAAAAAAAUCAGCAGAAAAUGAGCGUCAGGAAACCAAAGCCGCGGCUGACGCCGGCCUGGUGCUGCUGACGUGAGGCCCCAGCGCAGGUUUCCUUUUUUUGGGGUGGUUGUUUCUUUUUUUGGGGUGGUUUCCUUUAUUUUGGGGUGGUUUCCUUUAUUUUGGGGUGGUUUCCUUUGUUUUGGGGUCGUUUCCUUUUGUUUUCUCCCGAGUCUCAUCAUUUGGGUGGCUCAGCAAAGGGGAGGCUCCAGGAAGAGGGGAAGUGGGGGUGAUGUGGGCACAGGAGGAUUCCCAGGAAUUCCUGGGGUUGGAAAAGCUCUGUAGGGUCAGAGGGAUCCUCACCCGGAGUGCCUGAACCCAGAAAUUCCCUGGAAACCUCCAGGGAUGGGAAUUCCACCCUUUUCCAUGAGGAAAUCCCAGUCCCUGGCACAAUUUGAGGUCAUUUCCCCUCAUCCUAUCCCAAAACCCGACCCCCUUCUGGCUCCAACCCCGAAUUCCUCAGAAAUCCCUUGAGGAAUGUCCAUGAGGGUAUUCCCAAGUUCUCAUGGACAGAGCUCCAGGAAUCCUUGGAUUUUCCCCAGAUCCCAUCUUUGGGGGUUUGGGACCCCCAGGGUGUGGAAAAGGGAUUAAAUCCAGGACAUUUGUCCCUCCUUUCCAUCCCAGUUUGGAAUUUAGGGUUGGAAUUUGCCCUGAUCCCCAGAGAGGGGAAUUUUUUUUCCCAGGGGAAGGCAGGGCUGUGAUCAGUGGGGUUUUGGAGAAGGAUUUUUAGGGGUUUUGAUGGAUUUGGGGUGAGGAUUUCACUCCAGCUUUCUGGGAAUGUCAGAGUUUGUAGGAUUUUCCCUGUGGAGUCCCCAAACUUGCAGCCCAAAGAGGGGGAAUGUUCCCAUGGAGUGUGUUGAGUUUUUGGGAAGGAUUGGGACUUUUGAUGGAUUUGGGGUGAGGAUUUCUGGGAAUGUCACUGUAUCUACUGUAUCUUUCUGUCCGAUUUUUUAGGAUUUUCCCC
rnacentral:lncRNA from 1 species